rnacentral:rRNA from 1 species
GUGAACCUGCGGAAGGAUCAUUAACGAGUUAGGGUCUCUCUGGCCCGACCUCCCAACCCUUUGUCUACUUGACCAUCGUUGCUUCGGCGAGCCCGUCCUCACGGACCGCCGGAGGGAUCUUUACUGGCCCUCUGGUCCGCGCUCGUCGGUAGCCCAACCUUUAAAAUCUUUAACUAAACGUGCCUUAAUCUAAGUACAAUUAUUAAAUAAAAGCAAAACUUUCAACAACGGAUCUCUUGGUUCUGGCAUCGAUGAAGAACGCAGCGAAAUGCGAUAAGUAAUGCGAAUUGCAGAAUUCCAGUGAGUCAUCGAAUCUUUGAACGCACAUUGCGCCCUUUGGUAUUCCGAAGGGCAUGCCUGUUCGAGCGUCAUUAUCACCCCUCAAGCCCUCGGCUUGGUGUUGGACGGUUUGGUGGAGGCCCCCUCGGGGGCUCCUGCCCCUCCCAAAGACAAUGACGGCGGCCUCGUUGGACCCCCGGUACACUGAGUUCUUCACGGGACACGUAUCGGACACAUGGGUUUACGGGACACGGUCUGCCUCCCCUCAGGGAGAAUCUUUCUAAGGUUGACCUCGGAUCAGGUAGGGAUACCCGCUGAACU